rnacentral:tRNA from 1 species
GCCUGGGUAGCUGAGUCAGUUAAGCAUCUGACUUAGGCUCAGGUCAUGAUCCUGUGGUCUGUGGGUUCCAGCCCCACUUGGGGCU